rnacentral:rRNA from 1 species
AUUGAACGCUGGCGGCAGGCUUAACACAUGCAAGUCGAGUGGAGAUGAGGUGCUUGCACCUUAUCUUAGCGGCGGACGGGUGAGUAAUGCUUAGGAAUCUGCCUAUUAGUGGGGGACAACAUUCCGAAAGGAAUGCUAAUACCGCAUACGCCCUACGGGGGAAAGCAGGGGAUCUUCGGACCUUGCGCUAAUAGAUGAGCCUAAGUCGGAUUAGCUAGUUGGUGGGGUAAAGGCCUACCAAGGCGACGAUCUGUAGCGGGUCUGAGAGGAUGAUCCGCCGAACUGGGACUGAGACACGGCCCAGACUCCUACGGGAGGCAGCAGUGGGGAAUAUUGGACAAUGGGCGGAAGCCUGAUCCAGCCAUGCCGCGUGUGUGAAGAAGGCCUUUUGGUUGUAAAGCACUUUAAGCGAGGAGGAGGCUACCUGGAUUAAUACUCUAGGAUAGUGGACGUUACUCGCAGAAUAAGCACCGGCUAACUCUGUGCCAGCCGCCGCCGUAAAAC